rnacentral:lncRNA from 1 species
CUUGAAUCAACUAAUCAUUGUACCAAAAACAAUUAGAAACUCUGAGGCAAAAUGUUGUUUCAAAAGAUUGCUGUUUGAAGUCUUGUCCAGCAUGUAAGGAGCUCAGAAGUUAUCACUCCCAUUCUCACACAAGAAAAAGUCUGACCAAACUGUAAAUCAACAACUCUUUCCAUAUCCACCAGGAAAUUGAAGUCACUGAUUCCCCGCAAAAUUGAAAAGACAGACAGGUAGAUACAUAGAAUCAGAACUCAAUGAAGCAGAAGCCAGGAAACAGAAGUCUCCAUGGGAACCAGUACUGAAGAAAGAAAUUCUAAAAUGUAAUUGACAAAUUGCUGGAGGCUCAGUGUGGACAAAUCUGAGAGUUAAAAACUCUGGGAGUUCAGAAGUUCUGAGGGUCUUGUGGUUUUUUCUCAUCAUCAUCCUCCCCUGGUUCUUCUGUUUCAUUUGAAGAGGAGAUGAUAUGAUUGAAUGGAACACAAGGAAGUAAAGUGAUCUUCCUCGUUUGUUUUUCAAAAAGCUGAUGCCUCAGAGGAAAAAGAAAGCAAAGCCCUGUACCCUGACUCGAGCUGAGUCUCAGGGGGGCAGCCAGAUGCCAGAGAGAAAAUGACUAUAUAGGUUACCUAGACCAACAAGAGCACAGACAGCCUGUCAGAGACCUCCAUGCUUUAACCUGGCUCACAAGUAGAGCCACCAGAACCAAAGUAGCUGUGGUGACAGAGACAGAGACAGUCUUCAUGAACAGAUGACCAAGAACCAGACAAGAAGUGGAUACUCCAGAGGACACCUGCAGAGGCAAGACAUCAGGGACCACAGCGCUGCCCACCCCCUCUCAUAUGGUCCCCAUGUAAGCCCCUGGAACUGGGUACCAUCCCAAAGGUAAUAGCAACCCCAAAAGUAAUUGACUAAAAUUACAUUUCUGCCACUCUGUCACAAUGGAGGUCUGAAACAGUUGUUACGUUAUAGAGAAAGACAGUUUCAUUCUUUGCAUAACUGAGUCUAUAAACUCAGAUUCACCCUCUACGCAGCAUUCCUUGGUGUGAAAAAAACACAGGAUUCAGAAUCUGAGACUUGGCUUUGAGUUCUGACUCUAUCACUCUAAAGUUUUGUGAAUUAUUGGGAAAUGCUCUCUCACAGCUCAGAAGACUUCUCUGCUUCAUUUUCUCUCAUUCCACUCUCCAUGAAGAGGAAGAACAGCUGUUAUGACCCCCUACACCCUCCAACAGCUGUUACAUCUUCCCUCAAACUUCUGAAGACCAAACAAUGCUGCUCUUUAAAAACCACCCUUCACCACCAAGCUUGCAUUUGUCCAGUGCAUUCAAGGGUGACAAACUCAAUGGACACUGGCAUCCCUGCUCUAAAACUUGACCCAGAACACUUUCAUGUCCAGGAAGAUUUUUUUUUAUUCUAGAGAAUCUAUGCAGUGUACAUAGCCAACUUCCAUGUGCAACCUGCUCCUGUGCUCUUGAACUGGAAAACAUCUUGGAGUUUCCAAAUCUCUCAGUGCUGCCCAUGCUGAGCUCCUCCUGAUGACAAAACAAGGGAAUCACUUUCCUUUAAGGUUUUGUUUUUUGGUUUUUUGGUCUUUCAUUGUUGUUGUUGUUGUUGUUAUUUAGAUAGCAUCUAUCUCUGUUGCCCAGGCUGGAGGGCAGUGGCAUGAUCUCAGUUCACUGCAACCUCUGCCUCCUGGGUUCAAGCAAUUCUCCUGCCCCAGCCUCCUGAGUAGCUGGGAUUACAGGUGCAUGCUACCACGCCCGGCUAAUUUUUGUAUUCUUUAGUAGAGACAGGAUUUCGCCAUGUUGGCCAGGCUGGUCUUGAA